rnacentral:rRNA from 1 species
UUUCCGGUUGAUCCUGCCGGACCUGACUGCUAUCGGAUUGAUACUAAGCCAUGUGAGUCAUUGUAGCAAUACAAGGCAGACGGCUUAGUAACACGUAGCCAACCUACCCUAUGGACGGGGAUGACCUCGGGAAACUGAGGAUAAACCCCGAUAGAUCAUUUUACCUGGAACGGUUUAUGGUCCAAAUGAUUCGUCGCCGUAGGAUGGGACUGCGGCCUAUCAGCUUGUUGGUGAGGUAAUGGCCCACCAAGGCUAUUACAGGUACGGGCUCUGAGAGGAGAAGCCCGGAGAUGGGUACUGAGACACGGACCCAGGCCCUAUGGGGCGCAGCAGGCGAGAAAACUUUGCAAUGUGCGCAAGCACGACAAGGUUAAUCCGAGUGUUUCCUGCUAAAGGAAACUUUUGCUAGUCCUAAAAACACUAGCGAAUAAGGGGUGGGCAAGUUCUGGUGUCAGCCGCCGCGGUAAAACCAGCACCUCAAGUGGUCAGGAGGAUUAUUGGGCCUAAAGCAUCCGCAGCCUGCUUUGUAAGUUUCCGGUUAAAUCCAUUAGCUUAACUUAUGGGCCGCCGGAAAAACUGCAAAGCUAGGGAGUGGGAGAGGUAGACGGUACUCGGUAGGAAGGGGUAAAAUCCUUUGAUCUAUUGAUGACCACCUGUGGCGAAGGCGGUCUACCAGAACACGUUCGACGGUGAGGGAUGAAAGCUGGGGGAGCAAACCGGAUUAGAUACCCGGGUAGUCCCAGCUGUAAACGAUGCAGACUCGGUGAUGCCCUGGCUUGUGGCCAGUGCAGUGCCGCAGGGAAGCCGUUAAGUUUGCCGCCUGGGAAGUACGUACGCAAGUAUGAAACUUAAAGGAAUUGGCGGGGGAGCACCACAAGGGGUGAAGCCUGCGGUUCAAUUGGAUUCAACGCCGGA